rnacentral:rRNA from 1 species
ACGAACGCUGGCGGCGUGCUUAACACAUGCAAGUCGAACGGGAAGGCCCUGCUUGCAGGGUACUCGAGUGGCGAACGGGUGAGUAACACGUGGGUGAUCUGCCCUGCACUUCGGGAUAAGCCUGGGAAACUGGGUCUAAUACCGGAUAGGAGCCAUUUUUAGUGUGAUGGUUGGAAAGUUUUUUCGGUGUAGGAUGAGCUCGCGGCCUAUCAGCUUGUUGGUGGGGUAAUGGCCUACCAAGGCGGCGACGGGUAGCCGGCCUGAGAGGGUGGACGGCCACAUUGGGACUGAGAUACGGCCCAGACUCCUACGGGAGGCAGCAGUGGGGAAUAUUGCACAAUGGGCGCAAGCCUGAUGCAGCGACGCCGCGUGGGGGAUGACGGCCUUCGGGUUGUAAACUCCUUUCGCUAGGGACGAAGCUUUUUGUGACGGUACCUAGAUAAGAAGCACCGGCUAACUACGUG